GAAAUACGACUUCCGGCUACUUUUUUUUAAAAUAAAUAACCCCAAAUAUCUUAAGCAAAUCAUAUUUUAAUGUGUCUGUUCUUCAGAAAUAAUACAUUCAGUGGCACAUUACUUUAAAAAUAUCCAUGCUUUCGUUUUUUCUACUCCCACAGCCCACAAUAAUAUUUGCAGGAAAAAGGCUGCCAUCUGGUUUACAUUACUGUGACAUUAAGACGAUCUAUAUCUAUAGAUUAAACUAUACGGCAGCAUAAAAAAGAAGUUUAACCUUUUCUGAAUGAAAGGAAUAGUGAUGAUUAGUGGGAGUGGUAAUAUUUUAUUAUUAUAAGUAUUAUUUAGUUAUUAUUUUGUCCUGUUUUUUGGUCAUGAUAGUGGUGGUGGGUGGGUGGGGGGUUUCUAAGACAUGAGACACACCCAUCAUAGCAAACGACGUUCCAUUAUCCUUUUAAUUUGAAGGUGAGAUCGUCUUUCUUCCGGUUUCAGUGUCAACUUCACACGCCGUGUUUCCGGGUGCCUCGGCUGACAGCUUCACAGACCUGUCAGACCCCUCUCAUCAUCGGCGCCGUCUCCUGGGAUCCGAAGCGCUGCAGGCCUCUGCUCGAGGCGCACUGUCAGCCUUUAUUAUGGUUGUUUAUAACAUCGUGGCAAAGUUUAAAAGGACAGGUACCGUACUGUAUACACCGUUAGAGAAGAAAUGGAUACUCUCAGUAUCGCUGUCCCAGCCUCUCUCUUUCAUCGUGCUGCAGGGUAUUUAUUUUCUGUUCUUUUACUCUUCAAGGUGAAUGAAUACUACUUAUCAAAUGACCCACUGCAUGUAAAAACAUAAAGCUGAACACCUGCCAACUUUUAAUA